AGUGAAGCACAUAAACCUGCUGAAUUUAAGCAUAUAAGUAAGUGGUGGAAAUUAAACCAAAUGGGAUUUCUUUAGUAAUUGC
rnacentral:rRNA from 1 species